CAUAGAAUUUCAACUAUAUUAACCGAAAUUAGUAUCUGUUUAUUUGUUUGUCAUAUAACAGCAUAAAAAUCGGAAGUGUAUAAAUUUUUAUUUUAAUAUUACGGGUGUAUUGGUACUAGAUUGGAUAAAAUAAUUGACCAUAUAAUACAACUGUCAAAGAUUGAAAACUAUGACCUGAGAAAUAUGUGAAAAAAAUCUUUUAUUGUCAAUCGUCACUAUAUCCGACAGAGUACCGCAAGCGUAUGUUGUGGAUUGCAAUGUAAAUUAUCAUUAUAUGUUUAAGUAACAGAUAUAAAAAAAGUAACAAAAUUAUUUGUGAAUACCGAUUUUAUCACUUAAAAAUAGUGUUCUCAUUACUUAAUAAUUUAUACUCUCGGUUGUACAAAAUACUAUAAUUUAUACUUUUAUUUCUACAAAGUUUUGCAUACAUUUCUAAUAAUUUUGUAUUGAUUGUAUAUUUAAGUAAUAUUUUUGUAAUUUACAUACUGUAGAGAAUGAUAAUCGAUACUUAGAUAUUUAAUAACAUAAAUCUUUCAAAUAUUUUCAAAUAAAAGACAAAAAUGCAUAUAAAACAUAAAACACAGUCCUUUCUACUGUCUUAUAUAAAUGGACAUACAUGUAUAAAAAUAUUUAUGUAAAAUGUUUCUUUUUUCUGUAGGCAUCUUCAUUUGGAACUUUGCUAUGUGGCUCGCAAUAUUAAUGCUUUAUACGGAAUGCGAAUGACAGUACAGAUGGCAUCUUAUUUUGUUACGUUUACGGGAUUUGCGUAUAUUAUAUGUCAUGUACUGUUAUGUUUGCGCCACGAGAACGGAUUAAUAAAAUGAUACUUUAUUAUUACCAGCACUUUAUGGAUCACCUUAUAUUUAAUUAGACUUUUAAUGGUAAAUCAUAUCUGUGAAAGUGUUAGUGCCAAGGCGGAAAGAACCAAAAUCGUAAUUCAUAAAUUGACCAAUCUUAUUCGUUUUGCAGAUGCGUAUGAUAAGGUAAUAUAAAUUAAGCACACCAUUUUUUUAUAUAAAUUUUCUUGAAUAUCUUUAGAUUUGUAUAUAACACAAUAUGCGUUUUAAUA